rnacentral:misc_RNA from 1 species
GUAGGUGAACCUGCGGAAGGAUCAUUAACACGUGUCCCACGUAUAAAACCAAACCGUGAACAUUGAACGUAUAUCCGGAAGGAUGAGCCUGAUGGCGUCGGUAGUAAAGUCCAGGGCGACCUACUUCGGUGGGUGUACUCUGGGGUCCGCACAUUAGGUCUGUCCAGCCGUUAACCAAAACCAUUAUUCAUUAUUAUUAUCGUCUUAAGAACUGUCGUGCUGACUGUAGAGGAUAGGCGUAAGUCUUGAA